rnacentral:lncRNA from 1 species
AGUGAAAUAAACCAGAGGUUUGAAUCAUGCCUCGAUAUGAAAUCAUUGGAAAGAAUAUGGCGAUGACAUCCACAAUGCCAAUAAGAAGACGAAAUUUCAAGCAGGAUGAAAAAUUUGUUCAAUGAAACACAGUUAUUAAGUGGCUGACCUAAUAAGUGUUAUGUAUAAGUGACUCAUCCACUGUAGCUUCUGGGACUCAACUUUAGGAUCAUCGUCAUAAGCAGCCUGGAGCUAGCCAUAUUUGAAGAGCUAGGAAGGAGGCACAGUGAUUGACAAUCUCCUUUCUCCUCAACUAGAAUGUCAUUUCCUUUUUUAAAACUAAUUUAAAUCCCACCUACUUUCAAUUGCUUGUCUAAAAUAAAACCCAACUCCUCUCUUAAAGAC